GACGAACCGAGCGACCGUUGUUCGGAAUCACUGGGCUUAAAGGGCGCGUAGGCGGGUGCUCAAGUCCGUGGUGAAAUCCUCCGGCUCAACCGGAGAACUGCCUCGGAUACUGGGCGUCUCGAGUGUGGUAGGGGUAUGCGGAACUAUCGGUGGAGCGGUGAAAUGCGUUGAUAUCGAUAGGAACACCAGUGGCGAAGGCGAGUCUCUGGACAUUUCCUGACGCUGAGGCACGAAAGCCAGGGGAGCAAACGGG
rnacentral:rRNA from 1 species